rnacentral:rRNA from 1 species
GAUGAACGCUGGCGGCGUGCCUAAUACAUGCAAGUCGAGCGAACGGACGAGAAGCUUGCCUUUCUGAUGUUAGCGGCGGACGGGUGAGUAACACGUGGAUAACCUACCUAUAAGACUGGGAUAACUUCGGGAAACCGGAGCUAAUACCGGAUAAUAUUUUGAACCGCAUGGUUCAAAAGUGAAAGACGGUCUUGCUGUCACUUAUAGAUGGAUCCGCGCUGCAUUAGCUAGUUGGUAAGGUAACGGCUUACCAAGGCAACGAUGCAUAGCCGACCUGAGAGGGUGAUCGGCCACACUGGAACUGAGACACGGUCCAGACUCCUACGGGAGGCAGCAGUAGGGAAUCUUCCGCAAUGGGCGAAAGCCUGACGGAGCAACGCCGCGUGAGUGAUGAAGGUCUUCGGAUCGUAAAACUCUGUUAUUAGGGAAGAACAUAUGUGUAAGUAACUGUGCACAUCUUGACGGUACCUAAUCAGAAAGCCACGGCUAACUACGUG